rnacentral:rRNA from 1 species
CUGGCGGCACGCUUAACACAUGCAAGUCGAACGGAGACAUUUUGGUUUACUGAGAUGUCUUAGUGGCGGACGGGUGAGUAACACGUGAGCAACCUGCCUUCAAGAGGGGGAUAGCUUCUGGAAACGGAUGGUAAUACCCUAUAACAUAGAGACACCGCAUGGUGAUUCUAUCAAAGAUUUAUCGCGUUGAAGAUGGGCUCGCGUCUGAUUAGAUAGUUGGUGAGGUAACGGCUCACCAAGUCGACGAUCAGUAGCCGGACUGAGAGGUUGAACGGCCACAUUGGGACUGAGACACGGCCCAGACUCCUACGGGAGGCAGCAGUGGGGAAUAUUGCACAAUGGGGGGAAAAACCCCCUGAUGCAGCGAUGCCGCGUGGAGGAAGAAGGUUUUCGGAUUGUAAACUCCUGUCUUAAAGGACGAUAAUGACGGUACUUUAGGAGGAAGCUCCGGCUAACUACGUGCCAGCCGCCGC